UUUAUUUUGGAAUAGAUGAAGUAAUUGUUGACAAGCAUUAUUAGUCCUUUCUUUUGGCUUCGAUAAUUGGUUUUGGUUAUGGAUAGACUUGAGAGGAAAGAAGAGUUUGGCUUCAAGAUUACAGCUGUAUGUAUGUUCAUCCAACAAAAGUAGUCAAAAAGGCUUUCGUCCCCACUUGCAACUAUAUGUACUUUUUAAUUUUUUUUUGUAUUGUAUGUUGUUAGUAACAUUUUUUAAAAAACGUUUGUUGUGUGUCAAACAGCUCAACUUUUCCUGUCAUGUCAUGUUUUAAACGCACCCAACAAAAUUGUCCAUUAACUACUUCUCCCCGAAUAAUAAAUAUUAUUAUUAUAUUCACUCACCGUCUUAAUUUCCCUGCCCUACUUAUUCAGUACGAGAAUGAUUUUAUGAUUUAUAUACCCUCUUUCAUUUCUAUUUAUGUGCUAUCUUUGCUCCCUAUACAUACCCCCAUACAUAUUAGUAUUACAUUAUUAAUUACUGUCUACUCUAUCUAAUCUACAGCUGGUAAAUGUGGUACCAAUCCUAUACCUAGCUAUUAAUUUGGUUUAUUUAUUUGAACUGUUCAUAUGUGAACUAGGUUAGUCUAAUUUAUAUUCUACUUUCUAUUUUAACUCCAAAAUUGUGCCUAACUGUUAUCAAUUAUAAGGGGCUAAAGUAGUAUGGAGAAAAUGACCAAAUAGUAACUGAAAUAAUAAUUAAUAAAAAUAUUAUUAUAAUUAAUUUAAACUUCAGUAAAAUUUUCAAUUUAAAUUUAAA
rnacentral:lncRNA from 1 species